GGUGAAUAGCUGAGUGGUAGAGCAUGUACUUAGCGUACAUGAGGUCCUGGGUUCAAUUCCCAGUAUCUCCG
rnacentral:tRNA from 1 species